GCCUACGGGGCACAGCAGUGAGGAAUAUUGGUCAAUGGGCUUACGCCUGAACCAGCCAAGUCGCGUGAGGGAAGACUGCCCUAUGGGUUGUAAACCUCUUUUGUCAGGGAGCAAUUGGCGCUACGUGUAGCGUUAUCGAGAGUACCUGAAGAAAAAGCAUCGGCUAACUCCGUGCCAGCAGCCGCGGUAAUACGUAGGUGGCGAGCGUUAUCCGGAAUGAUUGGGCGUAAAGGGUGCGUAGGCGGCCUGCUAAGUCUGGAGUGAAAGGUACCGGCUCAACCGGUACAGGCUCUGGAAACUGGCGG
rnacentral:rRNA from 1 species